rnacentral:piRNA from 1 species
ACGUGUCUGUAAGCAUAUAUGCCUG